UCUCCGUAGGUGAACCUGCGGAGGGAUCAUUACUGAGUGAGGGCUCCGGCCCGACCUCCAACCCCAUGUGAACCGAAACCUGUUGCUUCGGGGGCGACCCUGCCUUUCGGCGCGGCGCCCCCGGAGGCUCAUCAAACACUGCAUCUUUGCGUCGGAGUCUUAAUGAAUUUAAACAAAACUUUUAACAACGGAUCUCUUGGUUCUGGCAUCGAUGAAGAACGCAGC
rnacentral:misc_RNA from 1 species